CUGUGAUCAAGGAGCCUGGGGCCCAAAGGCAACUCCAUAGCACUGAAAUAAGGACUCUGCAGACCCCAGGAAGGCCACGUGGGCAGUCUGCAUAUAUAAGAAAAUGAUUUGCCCUUGAAUUUCUGCUUUUCCUUUGUCUAUAAACUGUGUGUGUG